rnacentral:rRNA from 1 species
UACAGAGGUGGCAAGCGUUGUUCGGAUUUACUGGGCGUAAAGGGUGCGUAGGUGGUAUUGUAUGUCGGAUGUGAAAUCUCACCGCUCAACGGUGAAAUGGCAUUCGAAACUGCGAUACUUGAGUGCAGGAGAGGAGAGCGGAAUUCUUGGUGUAGCGGUGGAAUGCGUUGAGAUCAAGAAGAACACCGGUGGCGUAGGCGGCUCUCUGGUAUGCAACUGACACUGAGGCACGAAAGUUGGGGGAGCAAACAGGAUUAGAUACC